UUGGAGGGCAAGUCUGGUGCCGGCAGCCGCGGUAAUUCCAGCUCCAAUAGCGUAUAUUAAAGUUGUUGCAGUUAAAAAGCUCGUAGUUGAAUUUCGGGGUUAGUAGGUUGGUCAUGCCUCUGGUAUGUACUGGUCUCACUGAUUCCUCCUUCCUUAUGGACCGUAAUGCCAUUAAUUUGGUGUUGCGGGGAAUUUGGACUGUUACUUUGAAAAAAUUAGAGUGUUUAAAGCAAGCUAACGCUUGAAUACAUUAGCAUGGAAUAAUGAAAUAGGACGUUCG
rnacentral:rRNA from 1 species